rnacentral:lncRNA from 1 species
AGAUUCCAAAUCGACAGUGGUAAAAGACUGCACACCAAAAUGAAUAAGCGACAACAUCUUGGCCAUGAUGGCGAAGGCUUUCGGCGGGCUAAUAUUUGAUCACUGUUAUUAUCACUCGAUACUAAACAACCAAAGCAUAGAGAAGACGAAAUUUAUAUUCGAAUCAAGCGUCCAGUGAUUGAUUAUUAAUCUGGUGUUUUUUGAUCCUGACAAAUUAGAAAUCGAUACACAGUAUCCAAAUAAAAGAGAGGAAAAACAAACGCAAAUAUCCACUGACACAAACAUACACACACAUACACACAUACGUACGCAAACACACACAUACACACUCGCGCACACGAAUUCAAGAAAAACUAAAGUAAUAAAUAACUGCAAAAAUAAUAAAUAGAACCGAACAAACAGAAAAUAAGGAAGAGAUAUAAAUCAACACUAGGAUUGGUAGGUCCACAUAAAUUAUGAUAAUCUUGAAAUAUUAAACUGAUUAUUAGUUCUUGUCUAGUUUACUUUUGCAUUCGUCACCAUAGUGGAAAGUACAACAGCGAAGAAAUCACUGACGAAAUAACAUUUCACGAUAUUUAGG